ACUCCUACGGGAGGCAGCAGUGGGAAGUAUUGCACAAUGGCGCAAGCCUGAUGCAGCCAUGCCGCGUGUAUGAAGAAGGCCUCGGGUUGUAAAGCACUUUCAGUCGUGAGGAAGGUGGUGUAGUUAAUAGCUGCAUUAUUUGACGUUAGCGACAGAAGAAGCACCGGCUAACUCCGUGCCAGCAGCCGCGGUAAUACGGAGGGUGCGAGCGUUAAUCGGAAUUACUGGGCGUAAAGCGCAUGCAGGUGGUUUGUUAAGUCAGAUGUGAAAGCCC
rnacentral:rRNA from 1 species